AGACGAAUCUCCAUGGACUUUGGCCUCCACUGGGUUUUCUUUAUUGUUCUUUUAACAGGUGUCCAGUGUGAGGUACAAUUGGUGGAAUCUGGGGGAGGCUUGGUCCAACCUAGGGGAUCCCUGAGACUCUCUUGUGAGGCCACCGGGUUCGCCUUCAAUAGCUUCUGGAUGUAUUGGAUCCGCCAGGCUCCAGAAAAGGGACUGGAGUGGAUCUCAUACAUUAAUCCUAAUAGUGGUAGCACAGGCUAUGCAGACUCUGUGAAGGGCCGGUUCACCACCUCCAGCGACAACGCCAAGAACAUGCUUUUUCUGCAAAUGAACAACCUGCAAAAGGAGGACACGGGUGUCUAUUUCUGUGCAAAAGACACAGUGAGUAAAUAUCCUUAUAGCCCUGACAAAAACUGCCCUGGAACGCCAAAAUUCUUGUUACACUCAGAUGAAGGCAUUAGAAUGUCUUCGGAGGGGACCAUAGCUCCCAUCAGAGUAGGAGUAUUAUAUCUGCAAAUUGUGGGAACAGAG